rnacentral:rRNA from 1 species
GACGAACGCUGGCGGCGUGCCUAAUACAUGCAAGUUGAGCGCUGAAGGUUGGUACUUGUACCAACUGGAUGAGCAGCGAACGGGUGAGUAACGCGUGGGGAAUCUGCCUUUGAGCGGGGGACAACAUUUGGAAACGAAUGCUAAUACCGCAUAAAAACUUCAAACACAAGUUUUAAGUUUGAAAGAUGCAAUUGCAUCACUCAAAGAUGAUCCCGCGUUGUAUUAGCUAGUUGGUGAGGUAAAGGCUCACCAAGGCGAUGAUACAUAGCCGACCUGAGAGGGUGAUCGGCCACAUUGGGACUGAGACACGGCCCAAACUCCUACGGGAGGCAGCAGUAGGGAAUCUUCGGCAAUGGACGAAAGUCUGACCGAGCAACGCCGCGUGAGUGAAGAAGGUUUUCGGAUCGUAAAACUCUGUUGGUAGAGAAGAACGUUGGUGAGAGUGGAAAGCUCAUCAAGUGACGGUAACUACCCAGAAAGGGACGGCUAACUACGUG